GGACAGCAGAGAAGUGCGUGAUUUUCACACGUGGGUACAGGAAAAUGGUCCGGAAAAGCAGUAUUUUUGCGACAAAAUAAUGCAAGAACUCCAUACAGAGAUUGUCAGAUCAUCAAUCAAGAUGAUGUCAAUCACACCAAGCAGAGGUGUCUCAACCUAUCAAUGUACACUGAGCAGCGAUGUCUCGAUCAAUCAAUGUUGAAGCCUCGAUGAGUCGCCAGCAAUCUGUAUUGACUACUCACUCAACGUCAUGAUCACCAGGUGAACUAAUGCAGACAAAGUGUCAGGUCUUCAAUCAUGGUGGCUACCCAUCACACUGAGCAGAGAUGUCUCAAUCUAUCAAUGUUGAAGCAUCGCAGAGUCAACAGCAAUCUAUGACGGCUCACAUCUAAAGAUCAAGUGAGCCAAGUCUCUGUUCGUCAAACUGAGCAGAGGAAAUGUCUCCAAGCGGUCGUUAUUGAAGCCCUUGAGACCAACCAGCAAGCUGCUUUGACAACUCAGUCAGCCACUUCUGUACAGAUCAACUAAUCCAGACAGAGAGUGUCAAACCAAUAAACACCUUAUAGCAGAUCAAAAUCCAGACAUAGAGUCUCACAUCUCACAAGGAGUCACCGUCAUCACUGGUAGAGAUGCACAACCAUUGGUAUCUUUUUCGUAGUUACUUGUAUAUUAUAGGGAUAUAGGUAGAAUUAAGUUAGAAUUAUAUUGAGAUAUGGUUGGAAAAUCGCUCACACUUAUUGCUGUUUGGUGAAUCGCCCACACUUGUUGUUGUGUGGUGAAUUGCUGACACUCUUUGUUAUGUGGUGAAUUGCUCACACUUU